UACGUAGGGUGCAAGCGUUGUCCGGAAUUAUUGGGCGUAAAGAGCUUGUAGGCGGUUUGUCGCGUCUGCUGUGAAAUUUCGGGGCUCAACCCCGAACUUGCAGUGGGUACGGGCAGACUAGAGUGUGGUAGGGGAGACUGGAAUUCCUGGUGUAGCGGUGAAAUGCGUAGAUAUCUGGAGGAACACCGGUGGCGAAGGCGGCAUCCUGGACCGGUAUUGACGCUGAGGCGCGAAAGCUAGGGGAGCAAACGGG
rnacentral:rRNA from 1 species